rnacentral:rRNA from 1 species
UACGAACUGUGCGAACGUUAUUCGGAAUCACUGGGCUUACAGGGUGCGUAGGCGGCUCAACAAGUCAGGUGUGAAAGCCCCCGGCUCAACCGGGGAACUGCGCUUGAAACUGUUAGGCUCGAGUCAGCUAGAGGUACACGGAACUUCCAGUGGAGCGGUGAAAUGUGUUGAUAUUGGAAGGAACACCGGAGGCGAAAGCGGUGUACUGGGGCUGGUCUGACGCUGAGGCGCGAAAGCCAGGGGAGCGAACGGG